UUGAAAGGGAAACGAUUGAAGUCAGUCGUACCUUUGGGUAAUCAGCCUUUUGGGUGUGAUUUUGUGGAGUGUGGGGAGUUAAACGCCUUCAUGCCUGCAUAUUCGUGCACUUUGGGUGUAUUUGCCCGUGUGGUAAGUUAACAUCAAUUUUGGUGGUCAUAAAAUGGCUGGAGGAAUGUAGCUUCGAUCUCGUAUUGAAGUGUUAUAGCCUUCGGUAGAUGUGAUUAUCGGGAUUGAGGAUUGCAACGGAUACCCUUCGGGGCUACCUGUCUGAUCUCUGAUCGUUGCUCUGGUGCCGAAAGCUUGCUUACGGUUAUCAAAGUCGAUGGUCAAUAGGUUAGAACGGGUUAAAUUCGUUAAGGAUGUUGACGUA
rnacentral:rRNA from 1 species